AUGGAAGUUGGGGUCCACCAACAUCUAGAUGGCCACCAUUCUAUUUGUACCUUCAUCAGUGGGACAUGCCUCAGAAAAAUGACUCUCGCCUUAUGUAUAAAGGGAUUAUCUAAAAGGCUCAACAUACUCAGCUCCUUAAGCAUCUACUCCUACAACAUGGUUUCCAGACCUUUCAUCAUUUUGGUCACGCUUCAGCUUGUCAACAUCCUUCUUGAAUUGUGCUGCCCAGAACUGGACACAAUAUUCCAGCUCCGGAAAAUAUGACCUGGAGCAAUGGAUUCAUACUACAGGAAAAGAGAUUCCCCUCAACAUUUGGAAGAACUUCCUGAUAAUAAGAGCUGUUCGAGAGUGGAUUAUGUUGCCUCGGAAGGUUCACUUGAUGCACUACAGAAACCUACAAAGCCAGUUUAAAUGGAGAAGUGAGAGAGAGACCGGAGAACAGCUGAGAAGGAAAUGGAGGACAGACACCGAAGGCAGAGAGAGGCAGAGGACACCGGAGAAGUGAGAGAGACACCAGAGAACAGCUGAGAAGGAGAUGGAGGGCAGAUGCCAAAGGGAGAGAGAGGCAGCAGCCUGAGGCAGAGAACAAUGGAGAAAAGCCGAGAAGGAGAUGGAGGACAGAUGCUGAAGAGCGAGAGAGGCAGCAGCCUGAGGCAGAGGACACCGGAGAACAGCUGAGAAGGAGACGGAGGACAGACACCGAGACAGGAGAGGAAGAAGUAGCUUGAGGCAGAGAAUACUGAAGAACAGCAGAGAAAGAGAUAGGCUAGUAACGUCAAGGCAGAGGAGGAAAAAAUAAUAGGAGAUAAAGAUAAAAGAUUAGGUAAAAAGGAUAAAAAGAAAAUGGCAUUUAGCACAAAGCUUAGAUCACACACUCAGCUAAAUACAGGAGUAACUAGCUCUAGAGGAAGAUUAACAGAAUCAAAACAAACAGACUUAAAUGUCAUAAUACUGCAAGAAUUAAGACAAUUCAAAAAAGACUUUAAGUAAAAGAUAAGGGAAGAGAUGAGAGGGGAAUUAAAUGAUAAUAGAGAAGAAAUAAG